CGCGCGAGUCAUUGGGCAGUGCGAAACCCAAAGGCGCAGUGAAAGCGAGGGUCCGUUCGCCGGACCCAGGUGGGAUCCUUCUUCCCCCCUCCCGGGGUGGCGAGGAGGCGCACCACCGGCCCGUCCCGACUGCGUCGGCAGUGGGGCGGAGCAGGAGCGUGCACGCUGGGACCCGAAAGAUGGUGAACUAUGCCUGAGCAGAAGGAAGCCAGAGGAAACUCUGGUGGAAGUUCGUAGCGAUUCUGACGUGCAAAUCGAUCGUCAAACUUGGGUAUAGGG
rnacentral:rRNA from 1 species